rnacentral:rRNA from 1 species
CCCGGUUGAUCCUGCCAGAAGGCCACUGCUAUCGGAGUUCGAUUAAGCCAUGCGAGUCGAGAGGUGCAAGACCUCGGCAUACUGCUCAGUAACACGUGGACAACCUACCCUAUGGAGGGGGAUAACCCCGGGAAACUGGGGAUAAUACCCCAUAGAUUAUGAAUGCUGGAAUGCUUUGUAGUUGAAAGGUCCGCCACCAUAGGAUGGGUCUGCGGCCGAUUAGGUUGUUGUUGGGGUAACGGCCCAACAAGCCUGUAAUCGGUACGGGUUGUGGGAGCAAGAGCCCGGAGAUGGAUUCUGAGACACGAAUCCAGGCCCUACGGGGCGCAGCAGGCGCGAAAACUUUACAAUGCGGGAAACCGUGAUAAGGGAACUCCGAGUGCCCGUAAAAUCGGGCUGUCCAUCUGUUUAAAUAACAGGUGAAGAAAGGGCCGGGCAAGACCGGUGCCAGCCGCCGCGGUAAUACCGGCGGCUCGAGUGGUGGCCACUAUUACUGGGCUUAAAGCGUUCGUAGCUGGUCUGUUAAGUCUCUGGGGAAAUCUACUGGCUUAACCAAUAGGCGUCUCAGGGAUACUGGCAGACUAGGGACCGGGAGAGGUGAGAGGUACUCCAGGGGUAGGAGUGAAAUCCUGUAAUCCUUGGGGGACCACCUGUGGCGAAGGCGUCUCACCAGAACGGCUCCGACAGUGAGGGACGAAAGCUGGGGGAGCAAACCGGAUUAGAUACCCGGGUAGUCCCAGCUGUAAACGAUGCGCGUUAGGUGUAUCGGUGACCACGAGUCAUCGAGGUGCCGAAGAGAAAUCGUGAAACGUGCCGCCUGGGAAGUACGGUCGCAAGGCUGAAACUUAAAGGAAUUGGCGG